GAGGAAAAAGAAUGAAAGUUUUUCAUAAGUCUACAUCUUAUGUGCUGCCUGAUUUGAGUAUCCACUAGCCUCUCGCGAUUUUCAUAGACAAUCUUAUGACCGUCACUAUAAAUUCAUAUGGUUAUAACUAAACUUUACUUAUGUAUUUGGUCCACUGUUGAUAGACUAUGGACUUCAUAAGGAAUUCUUAUGGAAUUCAUCUGUAAUUUUUCAAUGGUUUUCGCGUAAGAUGCUAGUGUGAAGUUUUUAGACAUUUCAAGAUGGCGAAAGGACGGAUCAAGCAGACAAUUUUGAACGCUCGCGACUCCAAAUCGCCCCGUAAAUCGUUCCGGUAACUACUUCACAAAGCUGCUGCAGCCGAGUUUCUGAUCGGACGAAUAAAUUUUCUUAUUUACCGCGAUCUCUAAGACUCAGGUAACAUGGCUGUUGGUUCCGCCGGCGGCCCUUCUCAGCAUCCUCCAGAAGGAUCCGGAGAAUAGCAUCGGUGAGGACAGUUCCGAGCAGCGGUCGAAAGGGUUUAAGUUUGAUUGACGCGGUCAUGCCGAAGAUGUUGGCCAUCCGGCAGAACAUGCCGACUCACCAGCAAAAGACGAUUAAACCGGAGGCAGCGGAAACCAACGGGACGAUGAGCAGCGGAGGAACAGUGGAGCGACCACGAAUAAGAACGGAGAAAACAUCUCCUCGAAGCAAAAAUUAAAUAAAGUUUUGGUUAUAUUACGAUCAUUCAAAAAUAUACAUGUUUAAAAA
rnacentral:lncRNA from 1 species